rnacentral:tRNA from 1 species
GGUGACAUAGCUCAGUGGUAGAGUACUUGCCUAAUAGGUAUGAAGUAUCAGGCCCUGUGUUCAAUUCCCAGCACCA